AAAUGAAUUGACGGGGACCCGCACAAGCGGUGGAGCGCCUGCUUUAAUUCGAUGAUUACCGAAGAACCUUACCAAGCCUUGACAUGCUUCUGCGAAGCCCGCGAAAUCGGGCCGUCCUUCGAGGGAGAAGCACAGGUAUUGCAUGGCUGUUGUCAGCUCGUGUCGUGAGAUGUACCCUUAAGUGGGGUAACGAGCGCAACCCUUAUGGUUAGUUGUAUCACUCUAACAAGACUGCUCGGGCAACCGAGAGGAAGGAGAGGAUGACAAUAAGUCGGCAUGGUCCUUAUGGCUUGGGCAAGACAGGCGCUACAAUGGCCAGUACAACGGGACGCAACACAGUAAUGUGAAGCAAAUCCCUUAAAGCUGGUCUCAGUUCAGAUUGAGGGCUGAAACUCGCCCUCAUGAAGUUGGAAUCGCUAGUAAUCGUAGGUCAGCUAUACUACGGUGAAUACGUUCUCGGGUCUUGUACACACCGCCCGU
rnacentral:rRNA from 1 species